rnacentral:tRNA from 1 species
GUCCCGUAACUCAGUUGGAUAGCGCGUCGGUUUCCUAAACCGCAGGCCGCUGGUUCGAUUCCAGCCGGGACCA